GCUUCUUUCAAGUCUAAAGGACACUCCCUUUGUACUUCAAUGAUUGGAAGGCGCACAGAAAUAAGCUCGCAGAAUAGCUCAAGGAUCUCUUGAGCAGCCAUCAUGUUUUCUUCUCUUAUUAUAUGCUCUACCCGAAUGCGAGCAGUCGCUUCUUGGCCAGUCUCAAGAAGCUUAGCAAUGUCUCGACGCAUUUGCUUUACCUGAAUCUCUCUCCUAUUCCUCAGCAACUUUAUACGCGGUGUAGUCAACUUAAGCAGGGUUUUACAUUUCGCAGCUUUAAAGCCCUUGUUGAAGAAGGAAUCGAGCAUCGACAUGACUGACUGCUCACGAUCAGAUCAGAAAGUGGGAAUUUAACCUCCUGCUACGCUCAGAUGACGCGUAAUUACAAGCAAUGCUUUGCUUCCUUACGAUAGAAGGCUUCGAGGCUAUUCGGGUUUGUUUGUGUUAUAUAUGAAGAAAAAUAGGAAAGGAAUCGCAAAUUCG
rnacentral:misc_RNA from 1 species